rnacentral:rRNA from 1 species
UGCGUAGGUGGCCUUUUAAGUUGGAUGUGAAAUACCCGGGCUUAACCUGGGGGGUGCAUCUAAUACUGGGAGGCUAGAGUGCAGGAGAGGGAAGCGGAAUUCCUAGUGUAGCGGUGAAAUGCGUAGAUAUUAGGAGGAACACCAGUGGCGAAGGCGGCUUUCUGGACUGUAACUGACACUGAGGCACGAAAGCGUGGGGGAGCAAACAG